rnacentral:tRNA from 1 species
AUUUAAAUAGUUUAAUUAAAAUACUGAUUUGUGGUGUCAGAGAUAUAUUUUUUAUUUUAAAUAAUUUCAAUUUGUUUUUAUAUA